rfam:Nicotiana sylvestris Nsyl_contig113472, whole genome shotgun sequence.
UGACAAUGGUGUGGGCAGUCUCUGAGUAGCUUUUUGUAUCUUUCCCAAGCUUAUCAAAGAGUCUCACCAUCUUGUUGUUGAAACCCAAGAAUCUGGCUCCUCAGCGA